CGGCGAACGGGUGAGUAAUGCGUGACCAACCUGCCCCAUGCUCCAGAAUAGCUCUUGGAAACGGGUGGUAAUGCUGGAUGCUCCAACUUGACGCAUGUCUUGUUAGGAAAGUGUUUAGUGGCAUGGGAUGGGGUCGCGUCCUAUCAGCUUGUAGGCGGGGUAAUGGCCCACCUAGGCUUCGACGGGUAGCCGGCCUGAGAGGGCGGACGGCCACAUUGGGACUGAGAUACGGCCCAGACUCCUACGGGAGGCAGCAGGU
rnacentral:rRNA from 1 species